rnacentral:rRNA from 1 species
UACGGAGGGGGCGAGCGUUAUUCGGAAUUAUUGGGCGUAAAGGGCGCGUAGGCGGCCUGGCAAGUCAAAGGUGAAAUCCCUCGGCUCAACUGAGGAACUGCCUUUGAAACUGCCAGGCUUGAGGCCGGGAGGGGGUAGCGGAAUUCCCAGUGUAGCGGUGAAAUGCGUAGAUAUUGGGAGGAACACCAGUGGCGAAGGCGGCUACCUGGACCGGUUCUGACGCUGAUGCGCGAAAGCGUGGGUAGCAAACAGG